rnacentral:lncRNA from 1 species
AGGUGAAACAUAAAAGAAAAUCUUAGAUCAGAUAGAAAAAUGGGCUCCCCCUGAGUUAGAUCCUUGGAUAACUCAGAUGUUCUUACCGGACCUUCCUUGGUUUAGUGCUUUAGCUACUUUCCUGCAUAUCUUUAGUCAUGAUUUAGUAAUAGUUUAUUGAAAAUGUUUGCAGUGCUUGAGAGGAUUUAGGUAUGUUUUCAUCAAAGUUGUUUUAG